CCACCAGCCACGAGUGGGAGUGGUUACUCGGUCAUGUACGCACGAGGUUAGGGAAAGCGACCCGCGCUGCAAGAUUUGGUUUCAGCGGUAUCAAAGUGGACCAUGGACUUUAUAAAUAUGAAGUGACACCAUCAGCAGCUCGGGGACGUUUGUGUGCAUUUAUCUGAAUUAGGAAAGCGGGGCGCGCGCGUGGAGAGGGCUCGAGCGGUGAAGUGAGGAUGCGAGCAUGACAGCGUUUUUUCUGCUCCCUCUGCGUCACGUGGGCCAGAGCGCAGGACUUGAUGGAAAAAUACUGGAUUUGUUGAUUGCGAGUGUCCUUGCUCAGUCCAGACAGAGGCUUACACAUCCAUUACCAUGUUAUUAACCAACACAAUCCUAUUAUUGCCAUGACUCACCUGCACCAGAGGGGCCAAGUACUCCAGGUAUGUGCUCAGAACAACACUUUGACAGUCUCAUGUGCAGAGGAGCCAAGGACUUCUGUAAACCACAUGUCCAAACUCGCUCAAACUGGCCACAGAUCAAAUAUGCCAUGAGACAGACUGAGUAAGAAGAGGUUGCUU
ensembl:lncRNA